rnacentral:rRNA from 1 species
UACGUAGGUGGCAAGCGUUGUCCGGAUUUACUGGGCGUAAAGGGCUUGUAGGCGGUUUGUUAAGUCUGGUGUGAAAUCUCCCGGCUCAACCGGGAGGGGUCAUCGGAUACUGGCAGACUUGAGACGGGUAGAGGAAAGCAGAAUUCCCGGUGUAGCGGUGAAAUGCGUAGAUAUCUGGAGGAACACCAAUGGCGAAGGCAGCUCGCUGGAACGGUACUGACGCUGAGGCGCGAAAGCGUGGGGAGCAAACAGG